AUCGUAAUUCCCAAAAACGUACUGGUCGUGUUGAAUAUCGGAAUACAAGGUGAUAAAAUUAUAUUCGCUGUCACCAGAUCAUUUUCUAACCAAUAUCACGUGCACAACCAAGUCCCGAUAUUUUCAAUCGUAGCGACACUAGUUUGGAUGGCUAGAAAUGUGCGAAUUAAGUCUUAGAAGAUUUAUGCGUCUUCAUGUGGUAUAUCGAGUUCAUAGUCGAUUUAUUGCUUCGAAUUCAGAAAGUGGCCAUUACAAGUUGAAUGAAUGGAUUGAAUGUCAACGAUGGGAAAUAAAAAUUUGUAUAAUAGCGCUGAGUGUUGGAUGUGAGAACGAAUAGUAUUUUGAA
rnacentral:misc_RNA from 1 species